UACAGAGGGGGCAAGCGUUGUUCGGAAUUACUGGGCGUAAAGCGCACGUAGGCGGAUUUGUAAGUCAGGGGUGAAAUCCCGGGGCUCAACCUCGGAACUGCCUUUGAUACUGCAAAUCUCGAGUCCGGAAGAGGUGAGUGGAAUUCCUAGUGUAGAGGUGAAAUUCGUAGAUAUUAGGAAGAACACCAGUGGCGAAGGCGGCUCACUGGUCCGGUACUGACGCUGAGGUGCGAAAGCGUGGGGAGCAAACAGG
rnacentral:rRNA from 1 species